AAGCAACUAAAUAACCCUAAUUUUCAUAAUCCAAGUCUCUUGCCACCACCAUCUUCCAUCUCUAAUCGCCACCAUCGUGUUUUUUGUCUGUCACCGCCACGUUUUACAAACCCUAGAUAUCAACACAAGUUCUUCUUCUUUCUUCGUUAAUCGUUCUUCUAACACUUUGUUUUCAUUUUGAUUUUUAAGAUUUCAUAGAUUUUAGAUACCAAUGUUUCUUCAUUUAUGUAGAAGUAACUUUCAAAAUAUUUGAAACUAUUUUGACCUGAUAUUGCUUCGUAUGUUGUAAUUGAAACGAAAUUGAGUGAAAUAAUCAUAGAAUAAUAACAUUUGGAAAAGAUAAUUCUGUGAAAUCAAAGAUCUUUAAGCCCACUUCCGUGUCUCUACCCUUCAUCCUUUAACCAAUGGGCGAUUAGAAGCAAGAUCAAUUUAGAAGCAGCCCAGCCCUGGGGAUGAAAUUCAAUAAAAUUGAAUUCUAGGUUUUGGUUAAUUUGUAGUUGUGAUUCGAUAUGCAGAAGCAUCUGUGAGGUUUGUUUAGGAUCAUUAAAAACAAACUUUAAUCCAUCAAUUCUUCAUCAAUCUGAUGUGUAAGUCAAGCAAACCGUGAAAAGGGAAUGUGUAACGGCGACCCACCAGAUCCGGGGAUAGAGGGACGCUUAUAGGUAUCAGACGAGACGAGACGGUGAUGAUUCUGACCAAGAAUCAUAUGGUGGUACAAGGUGAUGAUGUUUUAGGUGAUGAAAGUUCAGAUGUCUUUGCAACAAACUCAAAUGGACAGGUUCUAUUUACUAAUUAGUUUACUGUGGAUGCGGUCAUCAAUUCGAAAUCUAGCCAGGAGGAUGUGUUUCAGUUGGUUGGUGUUUCCAUGGUUAAGUGUGCAAUGGUAGCUUACAACACUUCUAUGGUGGCUUAUGCACAGAUGGCUGACUCAAUGGAUAUGGGUGGACAUUUAUACACACCAACCCUCUGUCGUAUUAUAUCUUUCACCGGUCUGCACCUUUUGCCACUACACAGACAACCUUCCGAAUCUCCCCUCGAUAAUGGCUUCUUCUAUCACUUAUAUACACCUGAUCACACGCACUCAUUCCAAAGUUUCACUCACUGGUGUCCGUCAUGACUGUUUACGUUGCCGUCGCACUCACCGCCGUCAUCCUUCUCUUUUCGGCUACUCACUCCUCCAUCGUCGGAGUGGAGUAUGUUUCUCGUCUUCUUCAGGUUCAGGAUCGAGAGAGAGCUCCGUCAUCCGUACAACUUUCCGCUGCUAGAGCGGUGCUUGAUCGCUUUAUCCCUUCGCAUUCAUCCAGUUUCCAAUUUAACAUCAUCACUUAAGUAAAUUUCAUUUUCGUUUAUUGUUUAUUUAAAUAGGGCUUUGUAAUUUUUUACUAUACCUGCUGGAUUAUGAUAUUUGAUUUCCCUUGCAUCUUUUGACUUUUGUGGAAAUUCAAUUGACUGAUGAAGUCAAUCAGGUGUUUUUUGAUUUUCCUUAUAGCGUUCAGAUAGUGAGAGAAAGUUGAGUAAAAUAAAUUUUUGGAUGAUAGUGAAGGAAUUAAG
rnacentral:lncRNA from 1 species